rnacentral:rRNA from 1 species
CCUANGGGUGGCAGCAGUGGGGAAUUUUGGACAAUGGGCGCAAGCCUGAUCCAGCCAUUCCGCGUGAGUGAAGAAGGCCUUCGGGUUGUAAAGCUCUUUCGCAAGGGAAGAAACGAUUUAGGUAAAUAAUCUAAGUUAAUGACGGUACCUUGAUAAGAAGCACCGGCUAACUACGUGCCAGCAGCCGCGGUAAUACGUAGGGUGCGAGCGUUAAUCGGAAUUACUGGGCGUAAAGCGUGCGCAGGCUGUUUUGUAAGUCAGAUGUGAAAUCCCCGAGCUCAACUUGGGAACUGCGUUUGAAACUACAAGACUAGAAUAUGUCAGAGGGGGGUAGAAUUCCACGUGUAGCAGUGAAAUGCGUAGAGAUGUGGAGGAAUAUCAAUGGCGAAGGCAGCCCCCUGGGAUAAUAUUGACGCUCAUGCACGAAAGCGUGGGGAGCAAACAGGAUUAGAUACCCCANUANUC